AUAUUGCCUGGCAGGGGAGACACUAUGAUAACACAAGUGGUUUUCCCGGGCUGAGGCUCAUCCAUUGCACUCUGAUGUGUUGAUAGUGGUUAUUUCCACAAAUGUAGUUAAUUCUGCUACAUAAUUCCUGGUAGUGAAAGACUGUGUUCAUGCUAUCC
ensembl:snRNA U1 U1 spliceosomal RNA